GUAUUCAUGGAGUGGCAGUGUCAUAGCUCAUUAGUUUUAUCUGAGGUGUGAUUGUUGCUAGUUGAAAAUUGUACCCUAUACUCUGCCAUAGGGACUGAAAAUAUAGUGAGCUUUGGCAAUUGUUGAUAGUCUCCAUUGAGA